rnacentral:rRNA from 1 species
AUUGAACGCUGGCGGCAGGCCUAACACAUGCAAGUCGAGCGGAUGAAGGGAGCUUGCUCCUGGAUUCAGCGGCGGACGGGUGAGUAAUGCCUAGGAAUCUGCCUGGUAGUGGGGGAUAACGUCCGGAAACGGGCGCUAAUACCGCGUACGUCCUGAGGGAGAAAGUGGGGGAUCUUCGGACCUCACGCUAUCAGAUGAGCCUAGGUCGGAUUAGCUAGUUGGUGGGGUAAAGGCCUACCAAGGCGACGAUCCGUAACUGGUCUGAGAGGAUGAUCAGUCACACUGGAACUGAGACACGGUCCAGACUCCUACGGGAGGCAGCAGUGGGGAAUAUUGGACAAUGUGCGAAAGCCUGAUCCAGCCAUGCCGCGUGUGUGAAGAAGGUCUUCGGAUUGUAAAGCACUUUAAGUUGGGAGGAAGGGCAGUAAGUUAAUACCUUGCUGUUUUGACGUUACCAACAGAAUAAGCACCGGCUAACUUCGUG